CGAUGGCUAGGGUUUCGGGAGUCGGCUCCAGCGCCGGUGGCCAUGUCGGCCUCUUCUCGCCGGUGAGUGAAUCCCCUUCCCUGGCUUCGUCCUCUCUCUCUCUUCCCCUUUCUCUAACCUCUAUUCUUCUCUUCUCCUGUAGACGUCUAUGUAUGCACCCCUGAUUCUAUUGCAGCUAAUCCCUGUUAAAAAAGUUUGCCCCUUGUGCAAUUCAUUUACGAACACUGAUAGGCCUGCAGACUGACUUCUGAUCUCCGUUGAUUUACAUUCAUGCACUAAUUGCUAUUCUAUUAAAAUAUUAAUUAUUAGAUAUCAAAUGGAGCAUCGGAAACAAUAGAUGAAUAUUGAGCACCCGUAUUGUGAUACUUGUCCGGCUGAAGAAAAUGUGGAUCACAUCAUAUUGAGAUGCGCUCUAGCUCACUUUCUGUGGAGUAAGUUGAUGUCUUGCAGCAGGCAACAGAAUCCCACUCCUUGCUGGACUUUGUACGGACAUUAAGAUCUGUUAGUCCACACGGGUUCGUGCUUUUUGCUGCCUGUGCGGUUCAGCUCUGGAAAGUGCGUAAUGCUUGUGUCUUUGACGGUCUGUCAAUGCCACAUUUUGCUUCUCGCCUUGCCAUCGCGGAGAUGAUUCAGCUAUGGUGCUAUAGAUAGAAGGAUUGCUCUCUCAAGGCCUUUCUUCAGCACCACUCGGAGCUCCUGAGGGCAUCUACAAUGCAGGCGCUUAGCAUGGGCGCCAGGCUCAAAUUCCCGGCCAAUUAGCGAUUAUUUUACUGAAUCCCGGUGCAAGGGUAAGCGUCGGCGCAAAACUGUGCACCGAGCGCUAGGCUCUUUUUCUUUCUACGUCGAGCGUCUAGGUAGUUAAAUUAACCCACGAAUUAGCGGCUGCCAUUGUAGACACGAGCGCUUAGAUGCCGAUUUAAUUUUUUUUAUAUUUAUUUUUAUCUGUGUUAGCGCCUACAUAAGCGGCUGGCAUUGUUGAUGCGUGAGGAACAUCAUUUAGUCAGGUUUUAGUCUAGAGGCUUGUUCCCCUUCCUCCCUGUUCUUUCUCAUAUUUCUAUUCCUCUUAUGCGGUGUUUUAACCGACAUCUUCUGUACCAAGACAAUUCUCAGACCUCGGUCUGGCUUUGGAAUAUAUAAGGUAGACUGUGGUCUACCUUCUUAUCAAAAAGAAAUAAAUCAAUGGAGCAUCAUUUAAAAAAAAUCUUAUACGCUGCUAACUCAUCAAUCCUUCAUAGAUUAGUAGGUAAUCCUUUCAAUUUUUUUGAUGUAGAGAAGCACUACUUCAUAUAUGCGGACCGCAUAUUAAGUAGUCUAUUGCAAGAGUUGUAAUAUUUAAGGAGGGAUCCUGUCUUUAUAGAUCUCUGUAUUGAUGCGUUACUAAUCAAUGUUUUUUGUUGCAAUUUCACACUUUUUAGAAGUCUGAUGGUCAAGUUAUUUAGGUCUGAGGUAGUAGCUCGCUAAUGGUGGCUUUCACAUCCAGCUCAAAUACAAGAGGACGUGGACCUGUUGGGAAAAGCACAUACACCUUUGUUUUAGUGAGCAGGUGAAUUAAUAAUGCACAAUGUUUCUUUUAUGAUGUUGCUUUGACGCUGUUGAUAUGAUUCAGAACCCUGAUAAAUACUAAACUCCACGCCUAUUAAUGUACUGAUUGUUGUACGCACUUACUAUUCUACACAAUUUGGAUUACUAGCUAAAUACCCGUGUGUUGCUAUGGGAUAACAAACAUUCAGUUUCAUGAACACGCCAAAUGUGAUACCCUGUUACUUUCCAACUGUAUUUCUAUACACUGACGUCCUUCUCUUCCUUUGGUUUGAAAAGCUAUGAUGCAACUCCCCAGUUAAAUUCCUUAGUCUUGCUAGACCCUCAUAGCAUGCAGUUAUCAUUUAUGCACUAGUCAACGCAGAGGAUUCAUCUAUACCAAGUACUUAUCUACUAAUCUAUAAAAAGCUACUUAUCUACUCCCUCCGUCCGCAAAUACUUGUCAAAGAAAUGGAUACAAAUGGAUGUAUCUAGAACUAAAAUGCAUCUAGAUACAUCCAAUCCCCAGACAAGUAUUUUCGGACGGAGGGAGUACUACAGUUGUACAUCAUAGUGAAAAUAAAACUGAAUCCCAGUACCCCACUUAGAUGCAACCUACACCUGAGCUUUAUGCAUGUUAAUGUGCAAACAUUCAGAUACUAAUGCUUGCAGCAAGCAUACACACAUGUACACUGGCAGAUGCUCACUGUUAAUCAUCAUGUUUGUCGUUUAUUAAGUAGAGGCUCACUGUUUGUUUGUGCGCAGGUUUCCAAAGAAAGAAAUACUCAAUGCCAUUCAAUGGCCUUCAAUUUGCCAGUCUCUACAUUCAUAGUAGGUCACUGGGUUUUACCUGCAACUAAGAUUAUUUCUGUUGUGGUGAUUAUUUAUUUAUUCCUUUAUUUCUUACAUUAGCUCUAACCAGUUUUCAGCCUCCUUUCCCGCUCUUAUUCAACUAUUUAUGUACUCCUAUCUUGCCAAUGGUGUACCUAUUGUUGUGUGUAAUUUAAUGUGAGGCGUCGCACUCAUCCGUUUAGGCACUCUCGAGAUGGAGGCCAACAUCAUGGAUGGCUGGAGCUGCGAGUAGAUUUGUCCAAGAUACGUCAGUGUUCGUAGUCAUGGUUCUGGUAAUUGUAUACGAUCUCCAUAUCUUAACUGUUUGUGAAGACGGAAAUGCAAGUUCUUCUUCUUAGAUGCUCUUGCCUUUUUGAUUCAUACAUAGCUAAACUGACCACUGACAUCUCACCACUUUGAUUCAUAAAUUGCUGAAUUACCCACAUGAACUCUUGCUGUCAUGGUUCAUAAAUUGCUGAAUUUCCCAUUAUGUGGCUUCCACUGUUCCAUAUGAGUAGUGUCUACUGUGAUUUUAACCAGUCAACUAAGUAGGUACUAUGUUAUUAGUGGCUUGCUUUUAGGCCACAAUGACAUCUAUUUAUUUUUCUCCAAGUCUGUUUAUGUUUGUGUUGUGACCUGAAGUCGUAUAUUGAGUUGUAAGGGAAUACUUUCAGAUCACAACUUUUCUUUGUAAUAGUCGUAAUCUAGCCGGCCAAUCAAUUUUUCGGAAGUAAUGACCCUUUGCAAGAAGUAAUAUUUCUUAUUUGCUGGGCAACCUGGCACUAUUUGCAUCAUGUCAAUGCAUUGUGUAUUAACAGUUUAUUUUGUUAUUUUCUAUGUAGAUUCAAAAGAUAUGUGGAUGCUUAUAUGGGUGUGUGGCAAGUAUACUGCGAUGAUGACGAUGAUGUUCCAGUUCACGAUGAUGACAAUGAUGGCUGUUUUCAGUUGUAGUUAUGAUGGGUGUUUUCAGUUUUAGUUAAGUUGUAGGGAUGAUGUUCGUGUUAGAUGAUGUUCCUCGGUUAAGUUUUAGUUAACUUGUAGGGAUGUCGAUGGAUGCUUUCAGUUUAAGAAUAUUUAGAUUAUGCAUCACAUUUGGAUGUUAUUCCUUCUGUAAUAUCAACAAUUGUAAUCUCACAGUUUUUUCCAAUAUAUGAUUUCUUCCUUGUGUGUAUAUUUUUUCUUCUGACUUGAUAUACAUAAUUAUCACCAUUAUGUGGAGCAUUAAUUUA
rnacentral:lncRNA from 1 species